rnacentral:rRNA from 1 species
CAGUAGCCGCGGUAAUACAGAGGGUGCGAGCGUUAAUCGGAUUUACUGGGCGUAAAGCGUGCGUAGGCGGCUUUUUAAGUCGGAUGUGAAAUCCCUGAGCUUAACUUAGGAAUUGCAUUCGAUACUGGGAAGCUAGAGUACGGGAGAGGAUGGUAGAAUUCCAGGUGUAGCGGUGAAAUGCGUAGAGAUCUGGAGGAAUACCGAUGGCGAAGGCAGCCAUCUGGCCUAAUACUGACGCUGAGGUACGAAAGCAUGGGGAGCAAACAGGAUUAGAUACCCCCGUAGUCCCUGUCUCUUAUAC